AGAAGGAAACCAUGCGGAAUAUGAAGCUCCAUGACGCUCCCAAGCCUGAGACCACCAAACAGAAGGAGCGUCACAUCGGUACCUGGACCCAAGAGGAGGAUGAUAUUCUUCGGGAGCAGAUUAGCCUCCAUGGAACUGAAAACUGGACGAUUAUUGCAGCUAAAUUCAAGCAUAAAACAACCAGACAAUGCAGAAGAAGGUCGUUCA